GGUGAGUUGUCCGAGUGGCUUAAGGAACACGCUUGGAAAGCGUGUGUAUGGAAAACGUACCGAGAGUUCGAAUCUCUCACUCACCG
rnacentral:tRNA from 1 species